AUUGAACGCUGGCGGCAUGCUUUACACAUGCAAGUCGAACGGCAGCGGGGAGGAGCUUGCUUCUCUGCCGGCGAGUGGCGAACGGGUGAGUAAUACAUCGGAACUUGUCGAGAAGAGGGGGAUAACCACCCGAAAGGGUGGCUAAUACCGCAUAAAUUCUGAGGAAGAAAGCUGGGGACCUAGGAAUAGGCCUAGCGCUUUUUGAGCGGCCGAUGUCGGAUUAGCUAGUUGGUGAGGUAAAGGCUCACCAAGGCGAAGAUCUGUAGCGGGUCUGAGAGGAUGGACCGCCACCCUGGGACUGAGACAAGGCCCAGACUCCUACGGGAGGCAGCAGUGGGGAAUUUUGGACAAUGGGGGCAACCCUGAUCCAGCCAUGCCGCGUGUAUGAAGAAGGCCUUAGGGUUGUAAAGUACUUUUGUUAGGGAAGAAAAGUCAGCUGUGAAUAAUGGCUGAUACUGACGGUACCUAAAGAAUAAGCACCGGCUAACUACGUG
rnacentral:rRNA from 1 species